rnacentral:rRNA from 1 species
UACGGAGGGAGCAAGCGUUACUCGGAAUUAUUGGGCGUAAAGAGCUCGUAGGCGGUCUGUCGCGUCGGCUGUGAAAACCCGGAGCUCAACUCCGGGCCUGCAGUCGAUACGGGCAAACUGGAGUGUUGCAGGGGAGACUGGAAUUCCUGGUGUAGCGGUGAAAUGCGCAGAUAUCAGGAGGAACACCGGUGGCGAAGGCGGGUCUCUGGGCAACAACUGACGCUGAGGAGCGAAAGCGUGGGGAGCGAACAGG